UACGUAGGGUGCGAGCGUUAAUCGGAAUUACUGGGCGUAGAGCGUGCGCAGGCGGCUUCUCAAGUCAGGGGUGAAAGCCCAGAGCUCAACUCUGGAAUUGCCUUUGAGACUGAGUGGCUUGAGUACGAGAGAGGUGAGUGGAAUUCCCAGUGUAGAGGUGAAAUUCGUAGAUAUUGGGAAGAACACCGGUGGCGAAGGCGGCUCACUGGCUCGUAACUGACGCUCAUGCACGACAGCGUGGGGAUCAAACAGG
rnacentral:rRNA from 1 species